rnacentral:sRNA from 1 species
GUCAAACGAGGUACAGUUCUGUUUAUGUAUGGCAUCUUCAGUAAAGAAGUUACGAGUAAAAACGUUGACGUUGAAUACCGCUUCCUUGCCGAACCUUAAUUAGUGCCUCAUUCAGUAACGUCUCUGGUUUCUCUGUAGGUCUGCCUUCGGGCAAAAUAAACACUCUAAGGAAUUUGCAAAAUGGCAAAGAUUAAAGGUCAGGUUAAGUGGUUCAACGAGUCUAAAGGUUUUGGUUUUAUUACCCCAGCUGACGGUAGCAAAGACGUGUUCGUACACUUCUCCGCUAUCCAGGGCAACGGUUUCAAAACCCUGGCUGAAGGCCAAAGCGUUGAGUUCGAAAUUCAGGACGGCCAGAAAGGCCCGGCUGCAGUCAACGUAACCGCUAUCUGAUUUCGUGCCAGCUCGGUGCCAUGCACCACUGAAAACGAAUCCGUAAAGCCCUGGUCAUCUGACCGGGGCUUUUUC